rnacentral:tRNA from 1 species
AGCGAUGUAACUCAGUAGGUAGAGUGUGUGGCUCAUAACCACAAAGUCAGGGGUUCAAGUCCCUUCGUCGCUA